AUUGAACGCUGGCGGCAGGCCUAACACAUGCAAGUCGAGCGGUAACAGAUUGAUAGCUUGCUAUCAAUGCUGACGAGCGGCGGACGGGUGAGUAAUGCCUGGGAAUAUACCCUGAUGUGGGGGAUAACUAUUGGAAACGAUAGCUAAUACCGCAUAAUCUCUUCGGAGCAAAGAGGGGGACCUUCGGGCCUCUCGCGUCAGGAUUAGCCCAGGUGGGAUUAGCUAGUUGGUGGGGUAAUGGCUCACCAAGGCAACGAUCCCUAGCUGGUCUGAGAGGAUGAUCAGCCACACUGGAACUGAGACACGGUCCAGACUCCUACGGGAGGCAGCAGUGGGGAAUAUUGCACAAUGGGGGAAACCCUGAUGCAGCCAUGCCGCGUGUAUGAAGAAGGCCUUCGGGUUGUAAAGUACUUUCAGUUGUGAGGAAGGCAGUUAAGUUAAUAGCUUAGCUGUUUGACGUUAGCAACAGAAGAAGCACCGGCUAACUCCGUGCCAGCAGCCGCGGUAAUACGGAGGGUGCGAGCGUUAAUCGGAAUUACUGGGCGUAAAGCGCAUGCAGGCGGUCUGUUAAGCAAGAUGUGAAAGCCCGGGGCUCAACCUCGGAACAGCAUUUUGAACUGGCAGACUAGAGUCUUGUAGAGGGGGGUAGAAUUUCAGGUGUAGCGGUGAAAUGCGUAGAGAUCUGAAGGAAUACCGGUGGCGAAGGCGGCCCCCUGGACAAAGACUGACGCUCAGAUGCGAAAGCGUGGGGAGCAAACAGG
rnacentral:rRNA from 1 species